rnacentral:rRNA from 1 species
AUUGAACGCUGGCGGCAGGCCUAACACAUGCAAGUCGAGCGGAGCGGCGGACGGGUGAGUAAUGCCUGGGAAUCUGCCUGGUAGUGGGGGAUAACGUCCGGAAACGGGCGCUAAUACCGCAUACUAUCAGACGAGCCUAGGCCGGCUGAGCUAGUUGGUGGGGUAAAGGCGUACCAAGGCGACGAACCUUAACUGGUCUGAGAGGAUGAUCAGUCACCCUGGACCUGAGACACGGUCCUGACUCCAACGGGAGGCAGCAGUGGGGAAUAUUGGACAAUGGGCGAAAGCCUGCUCCAGCCAUGCCGCGUGUGUGAGGAGUGUCUUCGGAUUUUAAAGCACUUUUAGUUGGGAGGCGUUACCAACAGAGUAAGCACCGGCUAACUUCGUGCCAGCAGCCGCGGUAAUUC